UUUCAACCACUGUGACACCCCAAAUCCCACAAUGAAUACACGUGCAUAUUCUUAAUUUACAUACUCAUACUGUCCAUACCCAGCUUCAUAUGUCCCAGUAUCACCACAUUUUUCCACAAAGUGUGCAACAUAUUGCUUUAGAUUUUUCUUACCAUCAAACAGUUGAAAUUAAGCAUCCUUAAGCUAUUGAUCCUUGUAGUAUACGCGUUUGCGUACGUAAGAAAGAACAUGACAAUAACUUCAUGCUCAUCUAUGAUAGUCCCUUUGAUGAAUUCUUUUAGUUGGUCUGAUUAGAAUAUCUCUUCAGCAGAGACUUUGGAUUUCCUUGGCAGGUAUUACUUGUUUGCGAGAAGAUCAAUCUCUUGAGCUUAUGGAUGCUUUCUUGGUGCAUGAUUGGAUUCUCCUUCCACAAAGCCUUCCAUAUUGUUUGUCAACUUUUGUAUAUUCCUGGUCAACCCUUCAAUUACUUUUUCCAAGUUUACUAGUUGUUCCUCUGCAGAUUGUUAGAAAUAUGCUUUAAAAGUUGAGAAUAGUAAAAUUAUUUUAUUGUUUUAGUAAGAGUUAAAUUUACUAUAGUAAUUUAGUUUGAAUUUGAAAUAAUUUUAAAUUAGUCUUCAGGAGUGAAUAAAGGCUGCACACUGGUUCGGUCCCGGCCCGAGACUGGCUCGGAACCACAAUCUUAACGGGCCUAACGGGCCCAAUGGACCGAUUCUGGUGGUCCUGAGCUUAAACGGUGCAAAAACCUGUGAUGUCCCAGUUCAAGAGGUCAGAACC
rnacentral:lncRNA from 1 species